GUCCUAUCCGCUCACAGAACCGCUAACGUUCUGCCAGCAUGUUUACAAAAGACGAGCUAGCUACCCAGCCAUGUCAUUUUCCCAAAAUCAAUAUUCCUAUCUGCCCAGAUGUCAGCCCAGCCGGAAGAAAAGAAUUGGACAAUCUAAUGAAGUGGUCCUUCCAUCUCUGAUGCAGGGUCAGCAGUGAUGCGCUCCGGUGUCGGCCAGCUCCUUGGUGAAGGUCAACUGGUGGCCAGUGAGUUUAUUAACAACACAAAUUGCACACUCGAUGCUUCCCUGGGAAGAGGAGUUGACAGAGCUAAUUCAAGCUGGGACGGACCAUAAUUCAAGUGAUUGAUCCGUGGAUUUACUGCGAGCUUCUAACCGCGGCCGAGAGUGAGACGAGAAUACGGCGGCCGAGGUGAACGUGAUGCCGAGGUGAAGCCACUGGGUGGCAGUCAGCCUCCAGCUGCGGCAUCUGGAGUUCCUGUGACAUCGCUUGCUUUAAAAAGUACAUAACAGCCAGAAUAAGAAAUGGAGGAGAAGCUGCUUCAAUGGGAGACUUGACAGUUGGAGUCUUACUCGCAUUCUUCAAACCCACGGAACAGUUCCUCAAGCGAUUUGGCUUCUGGCAUUUUUUAUUCACACAAUAAGAUAAGCAAUCUGAAACGUUUUCUGGGGCCAGAUGUCGUGAAACGCCAGAAGUGGUAUAACAACAACUUUGGACAACUUUUACCCUGAAGACCCUAAAACAAAGGCAAACAUUUACAUGUCUGUUAAUAUGUAGUCUCUUUACGUACCUUAAGCAAGUAGGUGUGUUGCCUCAACCUGACCAAUCGGUUGACAACGUUAACCACCAGCCAUCGUGCAUUUCUGUCAAUGUGAUACAUAUCUUGUGGUUUUCUUUUCUUUCUUGUGACUGGAAAAAAAAAAAGUUAUGGUUAAGAUUGGAGAAAAAGAAAGCGGUUAUAGAAAAUACACUUGGAUUGUAUGGUGAGUGACACAGCAGAAAACCCUUGUUUGAGGCUGGAGAAUGAUUGUGCGUGUAGUUAAAGAAGGAUGUCGGCUCUGUGUUAGAAAGGGAACUCACUUAAAUGAAAGUCAGAAUCACUUCACACCCGUCCAACACCCAGACCUCCACACCUUGACUUUCCACCUGAGCACACAGUACACAAGACUUCCUGCAAUGGCCUGAACACUGGCACUGGACUGAGGGGACAGACGUUGGAUUGGUGUGGAAAUGGUUUAACACGGUUGUGGCCGCUGAGCCUGCAGCGUUCUCUUAGUUCACUGGAAACCCGCUCGCAGACAGUUGGAAAGGAUCGCUGAGACGUGGUACCAGGGGCGGUCAAAUACCCGCCCGUCAAAUGCCUUCCGAUUCCAUCAUACAUUCCAGUGAGCAGGACUCUUUUGUUGUACUACGAUGUGAUUGGAAAAAAACAGGGAUGACCAAUCCAUUAAAAAAGUACAUUUCCUUAAAAUAUUUUAAUUGGAAGAGAGCUCUCUACAUUUCUUUUUCAAUUAUGUUUCCGACUGGGUUUGUUAAUCAAUACUCAAUAAGCGUUGCUUGUUGUUACUCCUUAAGUGUUACUGCUGCCUUAUCCCUUCAUUUUUGCCAACAUUUUACCAGCACUAGUUAUGUUGUUAUGUUACGUGUAUGCUACUUACUGUGUUCCUCUUGGCACAUUAAAUAGGCCGUUGUGGUGGUAAAACUCACACAACCCAGUGCUUGUCUGUUUUAAACCAUGCUUUCUCAUUUGUGCUCUGUGGUUUUAUGAAGAAUAAAGCAACAGUGGAGCA
ensembl:lncRNA